rnacentral:rRNA from 1 species
GACAGAGGGUGCAAACGUUGUUCGGAUUUACUGGGCGUAAAGCGCGUGUAGGCGGCUUUGCAAGUCGGAUGUGAAAGUCCAGGGCUCAACCCUGGAAGGCCGGUGGAAACUGUCGGGCUAGAGUCCGGAAGAGGCGAGUGGAAUUCCCGGUGUAGCGGUGAAAUGCGCAGAUAUCGGGAGGAACACCAAUGGCGAAGGCAGCUCGCUGGGACGGUACUGACGCUGAGACGCGAAAGCGUGGGGAGCAAACAGG